rnacentral:tRNA from 1 species
GCCCCCAUAGUCUAGAGGCCAAGGAUGCAGCCCUUUCAAGGCUGUGACGUGGGUUCGAAUCCCGCUGGGGGCA